rnacentral:misc_RNA from 1 species
GUGGGAGCGAGCUUGCUCGCGAGGGCGUCGCGCCAGUCAAUACAUAUGUUGACUGAUACUCCGCCAUCGCGAGCAGGCUCGCUCCUAC